GUUAAUAAGUUUCAUUUUAAUAUCUAAAUUUAUGAGGGAAACUGUGUUUCAAGAUGACUGUAGUUGCCUAAAAUAGCCGCUAGAGGGCGCACUAUGUAUGUGAUAUGUAGUAAAUCCAGUGGACGUGAGCGUUGCAUGCUGGGAUAAAAAACACCUCAGCUAAGCCCUAACAACUCACGAUACAGCCACGAGUGAAGUUAGUUAAUUCCAUUUUAUGGAAGAAAUACUGUUUGUUCUCAUGUUUAUGAGUCUGUACUGGACCGAAGUUGUUGCCAGAGGGUUCCAGACCGCUGCGACCGGAAGAUUGGCUUUCUUUUGUUUUAUAUGAUUGAGGACUCCGAUUGGUUUUUUGAGUUGCUGGAUCUACAUUCUGGGACAGCAUAGAUUCCAACCAGGUUUACUGUCGGACGCGAGGCAGGGUUAGAGAGUAUCUGGAAUUCUCCAUCCUCAUCAUCUUCCUGAAGAUUCAUGCCUGGAGCAGAUAAGAUCUAAGCUGCGUGCAGCAAACGUACAGACAAACACACACAUUCUACCCGGGUAGCACAUACACAUUGAAUACACUUGGACGGACAUGGAUACAAACUAAGCUUUUUGGACUGGACUUUGACGAACAUUGAUAUCAGACAGCAAUAAGCUGUAAAGAGACACUUUAUUUAAAGAGUUCUUUUAUUUCUUUUAUAUAUUGCGUAUUUGAAUCUGAACUGUGAUUCUACUUUUUGUAGAUUUUGAAAAUAAACAUCCCUGUGUUUACCUUUUA